rnacentral:lncRNA from 1 species
CAACUAUCCACAAGAGACCAAAAUGACACAAACAUUAACAACAAUAGGUCAUCGUACACCCUUCAACAAUGAGCAAAGCCCAUACCGCAUAGUCAGCUAUAAAAGGCCCCAAUAAGACAAUGUAAAACAAUUCAAACGAGAAAACUAACGGCCCUAUUUAUAUAAAAAAUUAACAAAAAACAAAUAUGUAACACAAAAACAAACGACAACC